UACGAAGGGUGCAAACGUUGCUCGGAAUCAUUGGGCGUAAAGCGCACGUAGGCGGCUCCAAAAGUCGGAUGUGAAAUCCCUGGGCUCAACCGAGGAAGUGCAUCCGAAACUGCGGAGCUUGAGUAUGGAAGAGGGUCGCGGAAUUCCCGGUGUAGCGGUGAAAUGCGUAGAUAUCUGCAGGAACACCCGUGGCGAAAGCGGCGCGCUGGACCACUACUGACGCUGAGGAACGAAAGCUAGGGGAGCAAACAGG
rnacentral:rRNA from 1 species